rnacentral:rRNA from 1 species
UACGUAGGUGGCUAGCGUUGUCCGGAAUCAUUGGGCGUAAAGAGCGUGUAGGCGGCCCGGUAAGUCCGCUGUGAAAGUCGGGGGCUCAACCCUCGAAAGCCGGUGGAUACUGUCGGGCUAGAGUGCGGAAGAGGCGAGUGGAAUUCCUGGUGUAGCGGUGAAAUGCGCAGAUAUCAGGAGGAACACCGAUUGCGAAGGCAGCUCGCUGGGACGUAACUGACGCUGAGACGCGAAAGCGUGGGGAGCAAACAGG